CCCCCCGGCCCUCUCCCGCUUACCUCUCGCUCUCUCUCCUCCCCAACCCCGCCACUCUGCAGCUGCCCAGGAUGAUUUUAUAAACAUUUUGCCAGCGGAUCAAUACCUGUAUUGAUCAACCAUUGUGAGAGUGAUCCGUCUAAAACCCAGCGCAGCCUGCACCUCAGAAAUGGGAGGAGCGAGGGAAAGGGAGAGAGAGGCUGCAGGAGAGGGUGAAGAAAGGCAGAGAGAGAGAGAGAGGGAGAGAGGGAGAAAGAGAGAGGCUGCAGCCACAGAGAAGGUAGAGAGGGGAGAGAAGGGGAACUCAGAGAGAGAGAAAAAGAGGGAAAGAGGGAGACAGACGGAGGGAGCUCAAGGUAAGGAGGAGCAUUUUGGACGGUGCGCGGGAGAGGGGAGAAGCACGGAGAUUAUGCAAAAAGAAAAAAUGCAUGCUAAUCGCUUUCUCGUUAACAGCGGAAGGGAGGGGUGACUAACGAGUCCUGCCGAUGGUGGCGGUAGCAGGCGGCCUGGCGCUGGCACUGGGAGGCUGCCGCUUACAGAAUGGCCUCAGCUACAGCCGACUGGGAAUAGGCCUCAGUGUAAAGCCAUAUGGACACAUUACCAGACAUGGGUGGAAGGCAUGGCAAUGCCAAGGAGCAUCGGCUGAAGCUGGAGUAGUCUACCUUUGGUGACUGUUUUGGAUGUUGUUGCGUCUUCACUGUGCCAAAUGGGAUAUACGCUCAAAACUUCCACAUUGUGUACAUUUACUCCAAGCUAUUGCACAACGUAGGAAGCAGCUUGGAACAGAUUAGCGGUGGCAGCAUAUUUCCACUGCUAGCUCUCAUGGAUACAGUUUGAAAGGGAAUAAUAAUGUUGUGCUCUGGGUGGAUACCGCGGGAUAUUGGAUAUACAUGAACCUAUUCAAGGUGUUGCAGCACACCAGACGGAAAAUGGCUCUGGACGGGGAGAUACAGGGCGCAGGCUCCAGAGGAACAAUGGAUGCUGCACGGCUGUGUUGGUGGACUCCAGAGAUGAGGCCUGCCGCUGCAUUAACACUGUCUGGAGGCUGGAGGAGGGAGGAGCCCCUGGGAGCCCAGAAGGAAGCCCCUUGCUAUUGAUCAGUCUCAGCGUCUCCCCACCCAUGUGCUGGGGACAGGGCUGAGCAGCGAGGAUGUACCAGAGAGGCCCAGAGUGAGGGAUUACCAGCAGAGACUCGUCUCAGAACAGGGGGACUUAGCCUGCUUUUUGUUGGGUUUACAGGCCUGCCUCAUUAAUGGGGGAUGAAACCCAGUGGAAAUGAUGCUGGCCACUGAGAUGAACUAAAAGAAUAAUGCAUUUGACGGCCUGCUAACAGACAUUGACAUAAAUACACACAUACAGACAAAGACGUACGCAUGUUAUUAUGUUAUAACAACACUGACAUGUUUGCAACAUAACUUCAGACAUUAUGUAUGUCCAGUCUAUCAAAUUCUGUUUUCAACUACAAUCAGGGACAGAAAAGUCUUGUCUAACAGGGUCAUUGCAAGCAGGGUACUGUGCAGGUGCUAACACCCUCUCAUCGUGUGGCAAAGCCUUUUCUUUCGCUGAAAUAGUUGUCCUGAGGUAAUUAAUUGUUUUUUUCCUGAGUUUAUUCAUUUCAAUGCAGAUGCUGCAGUGCACCAAGGACUGGGAGACCUGUUAAGGAGCCCUGAUCGAGUGCUUUAUAUAAUGCCUCUGUAUGCAGAAUGGGUUUAUCAGGAAAAACACACCAACAGAAAGAAAGAAAGAAAGAAAGAAAGGAAGAAAGAGAGGACAAAGAGAGAGAUGGAGAUAAAGCUUUAAGACUGAUGAUGCUGUGCAAAAAGCAGAGAAGCAUGUAAACAUCUGCUUAACUUUAGUUUCAAUUCAACUCGCUCUGAAUGAAAUCACAUGAAAGGCUUUGAUGAAAUGUCAGUAAUGUCUAUUGUAUAGACUUGCAUACAAGCCUGGAGUGUUUAGCAGUACAAAAACAUCUUUUAAAGUGAUUUCAAGGUCCUUGUUUAUGAGCAUUAUGAUUUUCUUUUUAUCUUGUCAACAUGUGCACUCAUUUUCACAAACAAAGACCAACGAGCAGGGAACAAGAGGGUGACAAGAAGAACCCUCAACCCCACCCCCAAAACCUUAACUAAUUAAGGAAUUACAGCAAUUAACUUGUCGCAAAUUCUGAAAACAGCCUACCAGCCCCUAAGGAGAUUAGUAAGGCACAGCAAAUGAUCUGAGAUAAUGUCAUCGACACUAUGUAAACCACACAAAAGAAGGGCGGAGAAAGACAGGAGGAGAGAAAGACAGUGAAUCAAGGAGUAAGGGGGGGGGGGGGGGGGGUCUGUGAGAGAUAAAAAAAACUGAGACGUCUGUUGUCUGGUAAUUGCGUGCAAUGAAUAGCACAAAUGGAAAUGAGAGAUUAAGGGAAAACGUACAAAGACAGAGGGGGUGAUAGACUGUGUAAAUGCUUAGUGUUGUAUGUUUUGUGUGUACGGUGUGUGUGUGUGUGUGUGUGCGUGUGUGCGUGUGUGUGUGUGUGUGUGUGUGUGUGUGUGUGUGUGUGCAUGUGUGUGUGGAGACAGGGUGAAGGGGUCGAUAUGAGAGCCUGUGGCGAGGUAUGUGAAUGAGAGAUCUAACUGGAUCGUGUCAGAGAUACCCUGCAGCGUGUGGCUACUUUCUACACACAUACACACACACACACACACAUACACACACACACACAUACACACUCUCGCACAUGCACCCACAAAGAUAUACACUCACGCACACACCAAGGCCGACAGCUGCUCCCCCACUCUGUCUUUGCUGGAGUGAGUGAGUGAGUGAGUGAGUGAGUGAAUAAGUGAGUGAGUGCGUUCAAGGCCUGUGUUACAUUCACUCCUUUGUGCCUCAGAAGGGCCUCUUAAUCUGUUCUUUCAAGUAUAAACAUCAUCUGCAGUAGGAAGUUGUAGAGUUUUUCAGUUUGUUUCCCCCCCCCCCUCUCUGUGUUUGUGUGGGCCC
ensembl:lncRNA